GCGUGAAGUCAAAUAUGCUGAAUGGCUCUCCAUCAACAAAUUAAAGAGGCAAAUAUAAAAUCCAGAUUUGUCAGAUUCUGAAAGCACAAGAAAGUUACCUGGAUCAGAGAAAACAGAUCCAGUUUUAUGGAGAGAAAAGGUACCGGUGACAUGGUCUUCGUAUUCCCCAUAAAGAAUAUACAGGAGUCUGUUCUCUAUGUCUGCAUCUCCAUUCAUGGUUUAGUCACUCAUCUCCAUUCGUGGUUUAUAUCUCACUCUUGCAGCCCCAUGGAUUGUAGUCCACCAGGCUCUUCUGUCCAUGGAAUUUCCCAGGUAAGAAUACUGGAGUGGGUUGCCAUUUUGUUCUCCAGGGGAUCUUCCCGACCCUGGGAUCAAACCUGCAUCUCCUGUGUUACAGCUGGUCUCCUGCACUGCUGGUGGAUUCUUUACCAACUGAGACACCAGGGAAGCCCUCUGCAUCUCCAUUGCUGCCCUGCAAAUAGGUUCAUCAGUUCCAUCUUUCUGGAUUCCAUAUAUGUGUGUUAAUAAAUAAUAUUUGUCUUUCUCUUUCUAGCUUACUUCACUCUAUACUAGUUUCAUCCACCUUAUUAGAACUGAGUCAAAUGCAUUCCUUUUUAUGGCUGAAUAAUAUUCUAUUGUAUAUAUGUACCAUAAUCUCUUUAUAUAUUCAUCUGUUCAUGAACAUCUAGGUUGCUUCCAUGUCCUAGUUAUUGUAAAUAAUGCUGCAGUGAACAAUGGGGUACAUGUAUCUUUUUCAAUUAUGGUUUCCUCAGGUUAUAUGCCCAGUAGCUUUUGCACAGUGAAGAAAACUAUAAAGAAAGUGAAAAGACAACCUCAGGAUGGGAGAAAAUAAUAGCAAAUAAAACAACUGACAAAGGAUUAAUCUCUAAAAUAUAAGCAGCUCAUUCAGCUCAAUACCAGAAAAACAAAAAAGCUAAUAAAAAAAAUAGGCAGAAGACCUAAAUAGACAUUUUUCCAAAGACAUACAGAUGGCUGAUAAAUACAUGAAAAGAUGCUCAAUAUUGCUCAUUAUUAGAGAAAUGCAAAUUACAAUGAGAUAGCACCUCACACCAGUCAGAGUGGCCAUCAUCAAAAAAUCUGCAAGCAAUAAAUACUAGAGAGGGUGUGGGGACAAGGGAACCCUCUUGCACUGUUGGUGGGAAUGCAAAUUGAUACAGCCACUAUGGAGAACAGUAUGGAGAUUCCUUAAAAAACUAAGAAUAAAACUACCAGGCCUUUUACUUUUAAUCAGUGACUUUGUCUUUUACUUGCUAGAAAAAAUGCUGUGAAAGUGCACAGCCCCAUCACCCAGCCUUUUUGGCACCAGGGACAGUUUCAUGGAAGACAGUUUUUCCAUGGACUGGUUGGGGACAUGGUUUUGGGAUGAUUCAAGCACAUUACAUUUAUUGUGCACUUUAUUUCUAUCAUUAUUACAUCAGAUCCACCUCAGAUCAUCAGACAUUAGAUGCUGGAGGUUGAAGACCACUGACUCAGGCCCUCCUUACCAUCAUAAUCUAUGUCCUCACCAAUCUGACAGUUUUUUUUGGACAAGUCUCAGAGGAAGGGAUUUUCUUUGUCCUCUUCAAGGGUCUUCCUUCUCUACUCUCUGACAGCGUCAUUCUACAGGCUUGUUUUCAGGCUACAAAUGUUGACUUUUUCCUAUGUUUUGUAACACACACACCUACCACCUUGAACCCCAUGUAUCACACUCUCUUUUUUGUUUUUGUUUUCUUCCUCAAUUCUCAUAGAAGUCGCUUCUCUCAACUGUUUCAUCUCAUGCCUAAUCACCUUCUCCAAGAUGGACUACUUUUGCUGCUGUUUUCUUCAAAGUGGACAUUAAUAGGAGGGCUGGCUUUAAGACAUUCUGUGAAUGAGUAAUACACUGACAAGUUUUCUCAUCCAUUUGCUCACAAUUCCUCAAUAAUUCUGGCAUUUUACAGCUCACAGGCUCAGUUCCCUCCUGGUGCUCUAUGAUGGUAUAAUUUCCUUAUAGAGUAACUAUAUCCAGAUUUUUCUUAUUCAGCUGCCACCUCCCCAGGUCCCGCUACAUUAUCAAAUUCUGCUGUCUAUUUCCUUUUAGUCACUAUAAAAGACUACUUGCCCAAUCUUAUACAGGCUGAUACCAGUGUUUUGUAAUGGCUUAAUGUACCAUACCUCACAGACUAUGGUAAUCACUUUAACAAAGAUCCCAAAAGUACAUUAUCACAAUAUUAUCAUUAUUAUUAUUAUUAUUAUAACAAUUAUUAUUUGAUGUCAAUAUGGAGACCCUAUGGUAGAUUAUAGCAGAGAGAGAAUUUUGGUUGUAGUUACAUUUUUUCUUUUUUGGAACCAAAAUAUUUUUUAAAAAUGUGAAUCACAUAUGGUCCAAAUUAUUUUGCCCAUAGUUUAGCUCUUUUCUGGAAAAAAAAAAAAGUUUUGGAGAAAGGGAUUGAAGAAGAGAAGUAACAGAAACAAUUAUCUUAAUAAAUACCUCUUUUUCUUUUUUUAGUUUUUGUCUGAUUUUCUUCCUCAUUAUUCCUAAUUUUCCUGAAAUUUUAUUUUCUUUUUUAACACUUAUUUCCUAAAUAAUAUGCCUUGAUGACUACUUGUGUGUAUCCUAAAGUGAGCCUGACUUCUCAGGAAAGGAUUCUUCAUUUCAGCUUUCAUAUAACUCUUUCACUUCUCCUUACUAUUCGUAUACAUAGUAAGAAUCCAAUAUAUUUUUAUGGGAACAAAAUUAUUGUAAACAAAUAUAAAUACCCAGGAAAUCACUUAUAGAAAAAUAAUAUGCACUUAGCAUCUGUCAGUAACCCACUUAUUUUGGUUUUGGUCACUCCAGCAACAUUUGAGGACCAAAAAAAAUAAAAGUGUGAAUUCAAUUUCAUAUUGACAUCGGAUUGGGUUUUAUUGUUGUGUUAUGUGAUCUCUCUAAACUAGAUGUUAAAACUCUCAUUUGUAAGUCUAAUGAACAUGACAGUACAUAUGUGAAGUAUGUUGAAGCAGAUAUAUUCAUUUACAUUUUCAAUUUGGAAUCUGAGGCACCGCACGGUUACAAAAAGGUACAUCAGUUCCAAGUGACAGGCUGUAAGCUCCUUCAGGUCAAAAAUGAAAGUGUAGUCCCUCAGUUGUGUCUGAUUCUUUGCAACCCCUUGGAUUGUAGCCCGCCAGGCUCCUCUGUCCAUGGGAUUCUCCAGACAAGCAUACUGGAAUGGGUAUCAAUUGCCUUCUCCAAGGAAUCUUCCUGACCCAGGGAUUGAAGCCAGGUCUCCUAUAUUGCAUGUAGAUUCCUUACCAUCUAAGACACCAGGGAAGCCCUUCAGGUCAGAGGCUAUGACUUAUUUUAGCCUGCUUUCUUGAACCUGUGUAUCUAUAUGUGGUUAGUACUCAGUAAAAAUGUGUGGGCCUGAAAUAUCCAGAGUUGGCCCUGCCUCUUCUGACCUUCUGCCUAGAGUUUUUUCCAUGGCACUAUUUUGCUAUAUAAAGAGGAAGUUGCAAAUUGGAAGUGGGCUCCUUAUUAAACUUGACCUACAGCCUGUAGCCUUGGGCACUCCAAGAUUGAACAAUGGGCUUUCUAAAUAGGUACAGGGUUAUUGUGGGAAGGGUACUUGGUAUCAUUCAUAUCUACCUGCCUUUUGCUGAUGGGACAAACUACUCCAGUUCAUGAUUUUUGGCUCCUCUUAUUCUUAACAGAAUUCAGUAUGUGAAUUUGAACCAACACUGCUGAUCCCCAGCCAAAUCUGCACCAGCUAAUGACUUUUUGCUGCCACCACAUAUUAGUUUUAGCAACUAGUCAUGGCCACGUUUCAUAUUGCCUUCAGGAAAAUCCUCUAGAUGUUGAAAUGAAAAUAGGUGAGAUGGGGGAAUUGGUGUAUAAGGGGCACAUUUCAGAGACUGAAGCUCAAGGGGGCAUAUGUAUUAUUGGUUUGGUACAAAUCAGGUCCAGGAAUCAGGAACUGCUUGUAAGUAACAUAGGUAGAGAUGCCAACCACCUGGGCAUGAUGGUGUGACUAUUCCACAAGACCCCAGAAUGCAGAUGUUCAUUAUAUUUCAUUUACAUGAAUCCCAGAGGUUUUCAUUUAAAUCUGUGUAACUACCUUGAUUGCCUAAAGUACACAUCUGUUUUCUGAAUGGAGUGAUUGGUCAUUUAUAUUACUGAUGUUUCAAGCUUUGAAAUGCUCUUUAUAUAUACUGUGUAUGUUAGAAAAAACAAGAACAACAACCAGACAUUCUGUUCUUAGUACUUCCACAUUUAUUUUUAGUUUAUAGGAUGGAUAGAAUGGAAGAUGUUGGUUUUUAAAAAAUAAAAUUUAACCUUCUUAGGCUAGGGAAACUAAGAGUUAGACAAAUCUUUAACACCACCGUUAGUCUAGUGUGUAUAACUGAAGUAUGGAGUAUAUGCAUUUAGUUCAUAAUUAGAAUCAAGGUGUGAGCAUGUCUAUGAAACAGACAAAAUUGAUUAUUAUUUCCUCUAAACGUACGUGUCAUAAUAUAGCAAACAAAAAUAAAUGUGAUUGUUUCAGUCUAUAAAUUAUGGAGAAAAAGUGUUUUACCCACAAAACAUGAGUUUUAACCGUCUUGAUAAUUUUUUUUCUUUUUUUUUGGUAGUGGUUUUCAUUGCCACUGAAAUUUAAGUGAUUUGAGAUUUGGAUAUCUCAUAAUUUUGUGCUAGUCUUUUUUAUUUAUCUGGCUAGCUUUCAUGGCUCAAAACUAUUCUAUUACUUUGUUAAAGGAGCCCCAUACCCCUUGACUAGAUCAUGAAAUAUGAGAAGAAGGCAGAAAUUUUGACACAUCAAAAAAUCACACUAUCUUUUUCAUGUCAAGUUUCAUGAUUGGAAACUAGGAAUCUUAUAGAAACAAUGCAAAAAAUUGUCUAAGGCAAGAAAGCACAAACACAAUGUAAAAGUAAAUCAUUUAGUAACCUCACUUUCUCAGGAGAAAAGUCAUCUGCUG
rnacentral:lncRNA from 1 species